GUGCAUGUGAGAGAACCCCUCCAACAGAGGAGCCAACCGCGGAAGACAUAUUGCCUUCGAGGAGAGAGACGAAGCAAAAUUGCAUCGCCUCUCUCCUCAAAGGCAUCGGCAGGGGAGGGAGAGAGGGAGGGGCCAGGGAGGCCGGCCGAGGGAGGAGGGAGCUCCGGGCGCAGGGAGGAUGGACGAGGCCGGCCGCGAGGAGGUCCCGCCGGCCGCCGCGAGGAGGGCUGGGGAGCAGAGGCCGGCGAGGCGGAUCGAGCUUCCCCCACCGGCCCGUCCUCCCGCCGCCCCCUUCCUCUCCAGGCCGACGGAGGAGCAGAGGGGCGGGUGGAUCCGGGGGCGGCGCGUCGAUCCGGGGGCGGCAGGGCGGAGCUCUGGCGGAGGCGCGUCGAUGUGGGGGGCGGGCGGAGGCGAGCGCGGCCCCCUGCUCACCUCCGUUCCAUCCGCCGCGCGCUGGCCGCGAGCUCGGGCGCCGGCCGCGCAGGUGAGGAAGGCAGGUUCCGACGCGACUCAUCGCUUCGUUCAAGGUCCCCCGCCGUCGCCCCCUCCGACUCCGCCAUGAAUGGGAACCAGCCGCGCGGGUCCGAGCAUGCGAGCUCUGCCGGGCCGCAUGCGCAGGAGCUCCGCCCGGAUGUGCCGCGAGUGCGGGUGCUCCGCCCGGCCGCGAGGCCAUCGCGGCCGGUGCCAAUCGAUUAUGCUGGGGAUUUGAACCUUCAGGUAGUUGUCUUGCAGACGCUUGAUACAUUGGGCUGGGAGGAGAGCUACUGCCAAGAUGUUCUUGCGCUAUUGCCAAGGCGUUCUGCCGGAUGCUUCUUGGUGUUUUCUGGUUGAUCCAUGACGAGCACUUGUAUGUGCUGAUCGAUUCCUCCUAGUAAACCUAUUCAAUUUGGCAAGAGCUCAGAGAUUGAAUGGUAUUUCGUCUUGUUGGGAAAAAUUUUGUUCUUGCACGAGAUGGAGAUUUCCUAGAGUUUGGUUUGAGUUGGAAUUGGGUGAUGAUUCUUUUGGGAUAGCUUCUCAACUCUGUCGUGAUCCCCUCUGCUAGUUUUGAGGGCAAGUUGUUUUGUUUUUCGUCAAAUUUCUUUGAUUCCUCGUCUGCUCUCUUCUCUGUUCUUGCGUUCAUCGUUCUCCUGUACCCUGGCACGAGCAAAUCAGCACAGCUGCGUGCUCGCCCUUGGUGGGCUGUUCGCCACAAAUUCUUCUGCUACUUGUGGCCGCGCCGGAGUUGGACGACGCUGUCGUGGGCUUCGCCGCCCGCUGGCUUCACGAGCGGCGUGCGAGAGGAACUGCCGGCGGUGAUGCAUCUGUUUUUGCCUCCGCCUGUUGGAGAUGAGGAUUUUUGUGUGGGUGAUAAAUUUAUUGUGUACGAUGCAAAUGGAGAAAUGCCUCUCCUAUUUUGCAUCCGCUUGUUGGAGUCAGUCUAAGGUUCUUGAAAACCAUGAGCCGGCCCUGCGGACGAGGGCUGGUGGAUGGAAUGCAAACACGAAGAUACAGAACGGUAGAGAUAUAGAUGGAGGAAGAUACGCCUCCAGAGAAGAGAUUUCCGGUUUCCGCCGAAUAACUGACCUGAAAACAGUUUUCCUAUAAGCCCUCUAAAACCUUUCCGUCUAUAUCAAAACUACCCUGUUUCGUAGUCCAAACAACCCCGUAGCCUCUCUCUCUCUACCGUGGCCUUCGUUCCGUGUCGGCGAGUUCUUCGCCGUCGACUAGCAGCCAGCCACCAGGGAACCAGGUAUGGCCGCCCCUCUAGCAGUAUCCUCGUGCGUGUUUUCAACCGUCUCUUGUGGUUUUCGGUAAUUUUGAGUACUGGAUGAUUUUUGUUAGACGAUCCUUUAAGUCUUUUGAAGGUAAAACUGAAAGGGGGUAUUCUUAGUCAUCUUUGAUUUUUACAAUGCCGCCACUUGUUCUCUGAUCAAUAGAUGGUGCCUUUCCUUCUCCGAACCAUGUAUGUACUAUGUAGUAUGUACAGUUGUUCGGACGAAAAAAAAACCCUUGAAUUACCUUGCUAGUGGUGUUGGGCACAAGACCACAAGUGUUUGCUAUACUUUGAUAUUCUUCUUAGAUUUGUUUUUGCUAUACUUUGAUAUUCUUCUUAGAUUUUUUUUUGCUAUGCUUUGAUUUCUUCUUAGAUUUUUUUUAGCAUACUUCAAUAAGACUUACCUGACUAGCUUCAGUAAUAUUUUGCUGCUUCUGCUAAUUUCACAGUCAGAAUUGCUGACUUAUAUGGGUCUUAUCAAUGCCAUUUUACUAUGAACUUCCUACUCUUAACAGUUAUUGAUUUGUACCUAGGGUUGGUAAAAGGCAAAAGAUUAAAUAAUUUAGGGAACGAGAUAAAAAGGGCUAUACUUAUAUUUUAUAUAAUUUUGAGCUAAGAAUAAUUAAAAAUUGAGUUGGAUUGUGAGAGGAGGCAUUAUGGCUAUGAUCCAUCAGCCCCUACUUGUACAUUUGUAAAAUAGAAUGUUUGACUAAUAGUUUUGUAUAGAAAAAUGCAUUUUACUAGUCUGUUUGUAAUCCAUGAUACUACCGAGUUGGGACAUUGGUAGUAUCCGGAGUCUGUGAUUGUCUGCUUCCUUUUUUUUUCUCAGCAGCUCGGUUUUUGGUCUCAAGCUCAUGCAGCGCCCAAUGGAUGCCACGGGCAACAGAGCCUCCGUGGUUAUAAAGCUCCAUCAAACUGUGAAUAAGACAAAUUAUUCUUCAUCAAAUCCAUGUGAUGCAAAUGAAAUCACAGAGCAAAUCCCACUCGCUGCAAACCCGUCCAUUCUCCUCCAUUUGCUCUCAUCCUACGGGCUGGACGCUAAUGAUCUGGCUGCUUUGGAGGGUACAUGUAAAUUCUUCAGAAGCCCCGCAAACUUUCAACCAGAUGCUGCGUUGUCUCUUCCAGAAGUUGCAGCACUUGAUACUUGCUGUCAGAAGGCCAUGUUUAAGUCAAUGAAGCAUGAGGAAAAGGAGAAGUUGAAGCAGCGUUGUGGAGGCUCUUGGAAGCUCGUCCUUGGGUACCUGUUGGUCGGUGAGAGGAACUACCGCCGUGAGAAAUCUCAGGUUGUUGCUGGACCAGGACAUAGCAUUGUUGUCACAACAAAGGGGGAUGUGUACUCAUUCGGCGCAAAUUGCUCGGGGCAGCUAGGGCUUGGGAAUACUGAAGACCAGUUCGAACCAUGUCUUAUUAUCAGGUCUCUGCAAGGCAUCAGAAUCACACAGGCAGCAGUUGGGACUAGGCAGACAAUGCUUGUGAGCGACACGGGAAGUGUGUACAAAUUUGGACUGGAUGCUUUUGCGGGUUGGGGAUCCUCUGGGAAUUACACUAGCAGUCCUAAGUUGUUGGAAUCACUGAAAGGUAUCUUUGUAGUUCAAGCAUCUAUAGGAGGCGUCUUCUCUUCGGUUCUGUCUAGAGAGGGUCAGGUUUAUACUUUCUCUUGGGGGCGUGAGGCGAGGCAUGGUCAUGCUUCAGAUCUUACCGAUGUUGAGCCUCGUCUUCUCUCUGGACCGCUUGAGAAUGCUCUUGUUGUGCAGAUUGCUGCUGGCUAUUGCUAUCUCCUUAUGCUGGCCUACCAACCGACGGGAAUGUCGGUUUACUCGGUAAGCUACGGUUUAGGAGGCAAGCUUGGGCAUGAACACAAUAGAAACCUGGGGAUCCCAGCGCUGGUCCAACAUUUUCAUGCAAUGGAUGUAAAGCCACUGUCGAUUUCAGCAGGCGCUUUCCAUUGUUCAGCUCUGGCGCUAGAUGGACGUGUGUUCUCCUGGGGAUGGAGCCGAUACGGCUGUCUGGGACAGGGUUGUGCAGUCGAAUGGGUGAGCCUCCCCAGGGAAGUGGAAGGCUUGAAGGAUGCAAAGGCUAGGCAUCUGUCAGCUGGCGAUUACACCACCUUCGUCGUCGCAGAUAAUGGCGACGUCUACUUCUUUGGGUGGGCGGCAAGCUGUAACACCUGGAUACUCCGGCUGUUGUCCCGGAUACUCCGGGCGUGGAGUUUCUAAAUUCCCCUAAUUGGGUCAUCUGGGUCCCACAAAUAUAAUAAACAUACUCUCUCUCCCUCACAGCUCACUCUCCCUCACGUUCACUCUCUCCCUUUCACUCCCUCAUGAACUCUCCCUCUCCCUCACAAGUGCUCUCCCUCUCCCUAGAGCCCUAAACCCCAAAUCCUCCACCCCAACUUGAGCUCAAGGCCAAGAAGGCUUCAAGAUAGCGAGGAGCACCUUCUUCUCCACAUGUUCCUCCCCGGGAAGUUUUGGAUUUCAAGUUCUUUGAGCAAGAAAAGCUCAUCUUAGGUACGCUAGAUGUACGACGUGUGGACGUGAAGCACGCGGUGUGGAGUUGAACCACAAGACGGUGUUUGGCGGAUAUCUCCAGAAGAAGGAAUGGCCCUAAGAAGCAACCGAAGACCCGGCCCAAGGUUGGAAGGGCCCAAGGCCUUGAUAGCUUUAACACUAACUUAGUGUUACCCUCAGGCAAGCCCCGGUGCACAUCCUUCUAUUUU